GCACCCUUAGCAGAAUGGAUAAUGCGUCCGCGUCCGGAGUGGAAGAUUGCGGGUUCAAGUCCCGUAGGGUGUA
rnacentral:tRNA from 1 species